UGAGGAAUAUUGGUCAAUGGACGAGAGUCUGAACCAGCCAAGUAGCGUGAAGGAUGACUGCCCUAUGGGUUGUAAACUUCUUUUAUAUGGGAAUAAAAUGUUCCACGUGUGGGAUUUUGUAUGUACCAUAUGAAUAAGGAUCGGCUAACUCCGUGCCAGCAGCCGCGGUAAUACGGAGGAUCCGAGCGUUCUCCGGAUUUAUUGGGUUUAAAGGGAGCGUAGGUGGAUUGUUAAGUCAGUUGUGAAAGUUUGCGGCUCAACCGUAAAAUUGCAGUUGAAACUGGCAGUCUUGAGUACAGUAGAGGUGGGCGGAAUUCGUGGUGUAGCGGUGAAAUGCUUAGAUAUCACGAAGAACUCCGAUUGCGAAGGCAGCUCACUGGACUGCAACUGACACUGAUGCUCGAAAGUGUGUGUAUCAAACAGG
rnacentral:rRNA from 1 species